CCAUAAUAAACACACCAUGGCUUAUGCCCCUUGCAAUAUGACGUCAUUGGUGCCAAUUGAUAAAGGAAUGACGUCAUAAGACUUUAUUAGACGCGUUUCACGUGGUGUAUGUAGGUGUGUGGUUCUAUCUUCUCAGAUGCGCAGCCUAGCUAUUGUUUUGUUCGGUGCCGAGCUGUCCAAGAUACAACGCUAAGCACAAUUACUCAAAAAUUAUUUCGGUUUCCAAAAUCGCGACUGAGAAGACAACAAUGCACUGAUAACAUACUGUAAGAUUCGCGAUUAUGGCUGGAAGGGUCCGUUGUAUGAAUUGCGCUUAUUCGUUCAUUUGUGUUGCGCAUAUUGGCUCUUGCUGAGUUGCUGUCGUCUUCCGUGAGAGUUUAGAUACCUGCUGGUUCUGAAACCACAGGACCGUAUGUAACUAAUAAUAACAAUAAAAAAAACUCGCCAAAAAAUUAUAGACGAGGCCGAAGGCCGUUUUUGUUACUAUCAUUAGUUACAUAUGGUCUUGUGCUGAAACUGAUCGGAAGCGGAUGGUGUACGAUCCUUAUAUGGAAACGGGCUAAAGGGACAGCACUCUCAUCAAGACCCUGACUGGGAUGUUUUUGUAAACAAACGCCGUAAAGUUGAAGUAACUCGAUCAGUUUCGAGCCAAGUCAUGCCAGACACCGAUGCCCAGAAAGUACAGGUCCCCAGUCCAUCAUGGUGUACAGUCUCUGUCCAAUGUACACCAGAAGCAUGGCACACCGUGCUUCACAGUAUGAGGUCCCACAAUGAUAUGGAAGAGUAUAAAUGCGACAAAACCCUUUCCAUAUUCAUAUGAAAUCUCUGUAAAAAACAGUUGAUGGUACGAUUCUGACUAAAUCAUGAGCAGGUGUUAAUGAAUCGCUAUCAAAUAAUGAUAAUACCAGGUGUUCGCAAAAGGUGAGAGUAUCCUGCCCCAACGGUGUCACAAGAAAUACCUGGUGUUGAGAUCCAAUUUUCAUUGUGUGCAAAUUGUGUUUAUUUUCAUGCAGAGUUACAAGUCAUAAAAUAUUAGAGUGUCUUGUGAGGUACAGUGCUUCCGACAACAAGAGAGCUGUACUUUUGAAAUAGUCAACCAGUGCACUAACAAGUUGCCACUGAGCAUUUAGCCAGUGCUUGUGAUAUUUUCUUCAGUCUUUUCCCGGCCUUCGCCCUUGCCCAAAACUACCUGAUCCAGCAUCAGCCAUCAUGUAUUACAGAAACUUAUCAAAUGAAACAGCAAAGGCUGAUUGUUGUCAGAGACCAUAAAACAAGAUUUCAAU